AACGAACGCUGGCGGCAGGCCUAACACAUGCAAGUCGAGCGCACCCUUCGGGGUGAGCGGCGGACGGGUGAGUAACGCGUGGGAACGUGCCCUUCUCUGCGGAAUAGCCUCGGGAAACUGAGAGUAAUACCGCAUACGCCCUUUGGGGGAAAGAUUUAUCGGAGAAGGAUCGGCCCGCGUUGGAUUAGGUAGUUGGUGGGGUAAUGGCCCACCAAGCCGACGAUCCAUAGCUGGUUUGAGAGAAUGAUCAGCCACACUGGGACUGAGACACGGCCCAGACUCCUACGGGAGGCAGCAGUGGGGAAUCUUAGACAAUGGGGGCAACCCUGAUCUAGCCAUGCCGCGUGAGUGAUGAAGGCCUUAGGGUUGUAAAGCUCUUUCAGCUGGGAAGAUAAUGACGGUACCAGCAGAAGAAGCCCCGGCUAACUCCGUG
rnacentral:rRNA from 1 species